AAAUAGAACUUUGUAGAGAGAGUUAAGAGGGCGCGAAACCGUUAAUUGGCAAACGAAUCGGAGCCACGAAGUCGUUUCGUUGAAUUAGUCAAUACAAGUUCAGCUUAGUAUGGCAACACCAUACUGGGUGUAUUCUUGAGUUUUGACCAAUAAACAUUGUAAACGUACACUGCAACCAGUUAGACAAUUGACAAUGGGCACAGUCAAGUUAGUAGUAGUGCAGUUGUAAUUUAUUUUACUACUUGUGUUGCUGGACUUGUGAUAAGUGAACUAUAGUCAAAUACUGACUGGCAAAAUAAAAAUCAUUUUCUCCGGAAAGUGUUAGUAUAGAAUGCAACUAUCCAUUUGAAUGCCUACACUCUUCAACCAUAGAGUUUUAAGCUCAGCAUUUUUGAAUUUGGACUUGCUUGCUACCAAUGGGGCAACUCUUGGUGCUUGUAUAGCUUUCAUCUAAUCGGGUGUUGACUUGAUUUUAUGUUCGUUUGGAGGUGCUAUGAUUGGGUGUUGAAAUGAGAUUAGUUUGCCAUUUCAUUUGCAGUGAGUAGGUCGGCUUUCCGAACGACCCGUCUUGAAACACGGACCAAGGAGUCUAAUUAGGCAUCAAGUCGAUCAGUCUUGAAUAGGCUAGACUAGUAACUACUGGCUGAGAAGGCGUAGAGACAUGUGAUCAUUUGAGCACCAACAGCUCUUAUGCGCAACAUGUGCCUGCUCAAUAUAGUAAGUGUUUUUACUGAUUACUGGGCGGAGUAAAGAGAUGCCUGAUUGGUACCCGAAAGAUGGUGAUGCUUGGGCAAAUUGAAGCCAGAGGAAACUCUGGUGGAGGAUUUAGCUGACGUGCAAAUCGAUCGUCAGACCUGAGUAUAGGGGCGAAAGACUAAUCGAACCAUC
rnacentral:rRNA from 1 species